CAGGAGGCAGCAGUGGGGAAUCUUGGACAAUGGGGGCAACCCUGAUCCAGCGACGCCGCGUGGGUGAUGAAGGCCUUCGGGUUGUAAAGCCCUUUCGCCGGGGACGAUGAUGACGGUACCCGGAGAAGAAGCACCGGCUAACUCCGUGCCAGCAGCCGCGGUAAGACGGAGGGUGCUAGCGUUGUUCGGAAUCACUGGGCGUAAAGGGCGCGUAGGCGGCCUCAGGUGUCGGAUGUGAAAGCCCGGGGCUCAACCCCGGAGGUGCAUCCGAAACUCUGGGGCUGGAGGUCGGAAGAGGAGGGUGGAAUACCCAGUGUAGAGGUGAAAUUCGUAGAUAUUGGGUGGAACACCGGUGGCGAAAGCGGCUCUCUGGUCCGGACCUGACGCUGAGGCGCGAAAGCGUGGGGAGCAAACAGGAUUAGAUACCCCGGU
rnacentral:rRNA from 1 species